UACAGAGGGGGCAAGCGUUGUUCGGAAUUACUGGGCGUAAAGGGCGCGUAGGCGGCCUGUUAAGUCGAACGUGAAAUCCCCGGGCUCAACCCGGGAACUGCGUCCGAUACUGGCAGGCUUGAAUCCGGGAGAGGGAUGCGGAAUUCCAGGUGUAGCGGUGAAAUGCGUAGAUAUCAGGAGGAACACCGGUGGCGAAGGCGGAUCUCUGGGCCUUACCUGACGCUCAGGUGCGAAAGCUAGGGGAGCGAACAGG
rnacentral:rRNA from 1 species